rnacentral:rRNA from 1 species
UACAGAGGGGGCAAGCGUUAUUCGGAAUUAUUGGGCGUAAAGGGCGCGUAGGCGGCCUGGCAAGUGAAAGGUGAAAUCCCUCGGCUUAACCGAGGAACUGCCUUUCAGACUGCUUGGCUUGAGACCGGGAGAGGUGAGUGGAAUUCCCAGUGUAGCGGUGAAAUGCGUAGAUAUUGGGAGGAACACCAGUGGCGAAGGCGGCUCACUGGACCGGUACUGACGCUGAGGCGCGAAAGCCAGGGGAGCAAACGGG